rnacentral:lncRNA from 1 species
UUUUCCUCCGGAAGUGUGGCACCCAGAGGCGGUCCUGUAGCUGGGCCGGCUUGGGGCUUGGUUCUAUGUCCCUGUGGGUUGGUGCAAGGGCCAGGAGGAACCCGUGAGCCUCAGGGGAUCCCAGGGGGCCGGACCAGUGUUCCCUAGUUGUGGGAACAGACGCGUGGGCGCAUCGCGGGAGGGCAGGGCCUGAAGAGCAGCUAUGUUUCCAGUGUCCUCUGGGUGUUUCCAAGAGCAACAAGAAACGAAUAAAUCUCUGACGGAGAUUCACUCUUGUUGCCCAGGCUGGAGUGCAAUGGCACAAUUUCGGCUCUCCACAAUCUCUGCCUCCCAGAUUCAAGCUAUUCUCCUGCCUCUGUCUCCCGAGGAGCUGGGAUUACAGGUAAGCGCCACCAUGCCCUGCUAAUUAUGUACUUUUAGUAGAGAUGGGGGUUUCUCCAUGCUGGUCAGGUUGGUCUCAAACUCCUGACCCCAGGUGAUCUGCCCGUCUUGGCCUCUCAAAGUGCUGGGAUUACAGGUGUGAGCCACUGUGUCCGGCCCUUAAAUUCUAUUUCUUAAAAAGAGUCCGUUCAAGAUUGAUGUUAUAGAUACUCCUCAACUUACAAUUGUUUUAUGUCUUAAUGAACUCAUCCUAAAUUGAAAAUAUUGUAAGUCUAAAACGCAUUUAAUAUAUUUAACCUACUGAAUAUCAUGACUUAGCCUCGCCUACCUUAAACUUGCUCAGAACACUUACAUUAUCCUACAAUUGGGCAAAAUCAUCUACCACAAGGCCCAUUUUAAAAUAUUGAGUUUCUCAUGAAAUUUAUUGAAAACUAUACUGAUAGUGAAAAACUGGUCAUAUUGAUGCUCAUCAUUAACGUACACAGAUGAAAGCACCAUUAUCAAGUAAGAAGAGCACAAGUCAAACCACUGUAAGUUGAGGACUCUCUGUACUUUCUUAAAUGUUUGAUAGAAUUCACCUGAGAAAGCAUGUAGCCUGUAAUUAUAGAAAUCUUUUUAAAUUAAAAAAAUUCUUCAAUACAUAGAGAAGCUAUUACUUUUUCUAUUUCAUUUUGCAUUAGUUUUAAGAAUUAGUUUUACAAAUAAUUUCCCAUGUUAUUUUAAUUGUCAAAUGUAUUGGCCUAAAGUUUUCAUAAUUAUAUUGAUGUCUGUAGGUUCUGUAGUUACAUCCUCUAUUUAAUUCCCAUUAUCUACAUUAUGUAGCUUCUCUAAUUUUUUUCGAGAUAAAUCUUGCUAGCCAUUGUUUAUUAAAAAAAUUUUUUUCAAAGAACCAAUUUGUGGGUAUAUUAAUUAGCUCCACCUUUUGUUAUUUGCUAUGUUGUUGGUUUACAUUUUUAUCUUUAUCAUCUUCCUUCUUCUUAAUUUGGAUAUACUUUGCUUAUUUUUUAGCCUCUUAAAAAAGAACUUAAAGGUCAUUGAUUGAAGCCUUUUAUUUUCAAUAUAUUACAUCUAUAAAUGUACCUUUAAGAAACGAUUUAUCUGCAUCCCACAUUUUAUUAAGUUUUUAAAAAAUUUUAUUUCAGUUUAAACUAUUUUUUUUGUGUGUGAAACUUUUCUUGGCCAAUGGGUUUUUCUGAAGUAUUUUGUUUAAUGUUCAAAUGUUGGGGUGUUAUUGUACAUAUCCUACUGUUGUCCAUCUCUGGUUCAUGAUACAAUGCAUGUUCUCCAUUGCACUUAGAUAACAUGCCUCCAUGUCUCUGGAGAAUUCCUCAGUCUUUCUAAAAUGCUUUUGAUGAAUACUGGCCGUUAUUUUGUAGAAUGUCCUGCCUCAAUUUCAGUUAGUCUGAUGUUUUCUCACGGUUAGGACUAAAGUUAUACAUUUUGUCUAAGAAUACCAUAGAAUUGAUGUUUUGUCCUACUCAGUGCAUCAUAUAAGAAAUUACAUGAAGUUCAUUUAUCUUAUUAUUAGUAAUGUUAACUAUGAUCACUUGGCUAAGUUGACAUCUCCACUUUGAAGUUACUAUUCUAUAAUUAUCUUGUGGGAAGAUACUUUCAUAUUAUGCAAAUAUGUUCUUUCCCAACAUAUAUUCACCACUAAUCUUAGCAUUCCUCCAAGGUUCUUUCUUGCAACAAUUAUUACUAUGAUAUUUGCAAAGUGAUGAUUCUUAUAUUUUAUGUCUCCUACAUUUAAUGAAAUCUUACUGUAAUAAAAUACUACCCACUCUCAAUCUUUGGUUUAUUAUUUAUGUCAAUAUGGAUUUUUUUUUUGAGUUGGAGUCUUGUUUUGUCAUCCAGGCUGGUGUGCAAUGGUGCGAUUUCCGCUCACUGCACUUCCACCUUCCGGGAUUCAAGCCAUUCUCCUGCCUCAGCCUCCGGAGUAGCUGGGACUACAGUCAUGUGCCACCAUGCCCGGCUAAUUUUUGUAUUUUCAGUAGAGGCAGGGAUUCACCACAUUGGUCAGGCUGGUCUUGAACUCCUGACCUCAAGUGAUCUGCCCGCCUCUGCCUCCCAAAGGGCUGGGAAUACAGGCAUGAGCAACUGCACCUGGCCUGGAUUAAUUGAAAAUUUUCUCCUGUAGAUUGUAAUAUAUUAUUAUUGUUAUCUAUUUUAUUGCCCCAAUUUUCUCAAAUUUGGCUAUGGAAGUUUAUUCAAAGUGGAUCUGUUUCCCUUUCACAUUUUCCCCAUUUUGUGAGCAUUUCCUUACUUCCUAACAUGACAAAAUAUUUCAAACUAAUCUUGUAUUUUCCCUGCCCAAUCCUGAUAUCAAAUAUGUCCCCAAGGAGCCUUGGUUCCUUUAAUUGGAGAAUGGUGUUCUCAUUGUUACUGGGAUGAUGUUGUUUCUAGGCCCUUUUGUUAGAGGAGCUAGAAAAUAUAUGUAUGUAUACUCACACAUUUAUACACAUCUGUACUUAUUUAUACAAUUAUCCAUCUGUACGUAUACUAAAAACAAUGAUUUCAUGAAACUUUUGAUCCCAAUCCAACACUAGAUAAAGACUAUAUAGGCCCAUUUAUUUGCAAAUCAGCACAUAAACAUAGAAGAAUUAUUAACAAUAUAAGCUGUAGCUUAUGCUAAAUGUUGGUUGGAACAGACAAUAAGUUAUGGAGAACUUCAGAGGACACUAAGGUUGGAUGGGAUUUUGGAAGUUGUACAGGUCAAUGCCACUCCAUCUAUUGGCGAGUUUCACUAGGUUAAUACAUGAACAACAACAAAAAUAACCUAGAUCAGAAGUUAAAGGUCAUUUUAUUGACUAUCUGCCGUGUCUGUGCCAUUGCAGUGUACUAGGUGCACUUACGAGUCCUCUACUUACAAACUGCUUUUCACAAAAUAUGAAACUCCAGGCAAAGGUUCAGACAUAUGACGUUUGUUUUUAAAAUCUUUCUACAGCCUUGUAUCCUUUUUCCUUUCCUUCCUUUUACCCUUUUUAAAAUGUGUUAUGAGUUUUAUCUUAGACUAACAUCAUCUGUAAUGUUGCUAUACGCCAGUAUUCAGUUGCUGUGUUUGAUGAAUCAUAAAAUGGUGUAAAACUUCAAUUAAUGUACUUUUUAAAUAAAGUAUCUAUGAAUGCAUCCAGCAAAAUGUUUAUGAUUUGAGUAUUCACACAAUAUUACUUUUCUCUGGAUCUAACAAUAAUGUGAAAACGCAAAAUGAAUAUAAAAUAUUAGCUAAUAAUAGAUUUCAAAGUAUUGUACAAGUAUGAAAAAUAUAUGAUAUUGUUACUUUCAUAUAUGUAAAACAUUAAUAAUUUUUGUCAACAUAAACAUCAUCUUUAC